rnacentral:rRNA from 1 species
GACGAACGCUGGCGGCGUGCCUAACACAUGCAAGUCGAGCGGAGGAUUCGAGAUGUUUACAUCGAAGGAUCCUUAGCGGCGGACGGGUGAGUAACACGUGGGUAACCUGCCUCAGAGUGGGGGAUAGCCUUUCGAAAGGAAGAUUAAUACCGCAUAAGAUUGUAGCGUCACAUGGCGCAGCAAGAAAAGGAGCAAUCCGCUUUGAGAUGGACCCGCGGCGCAUUAGCUAGUUGGUGAGGUAACGGCUCACCAAGGCCACGAUGCGUAGCCGACCUGAGAGGGUGAUCGGCCACAUUGGAACUGAGACACGGUCCAGACUCCUACGGGAGGCAGCAGUGGGGAAUAUUGCACAAUGGGCGAAAGCCUGAUGCAGCAACGCCGCGUGAGUGAUGAAGGCCUUCGGUCGUAAAGCUCUUUCGUAUCAGGGAUGAUAAUGACAGUACCUGAAAACAAGACCACGGCUAACUACGUG